GAUGAUGCAUAGCCGACGUUGAGAGACUGAUCGGCCACAUUGGGACGUGAGACACGGCCCAAACUCCUACGGGAGGGCAGCAGUAGGGAAUCUUCCACAAUGGACGCAAGUCUGAUGGAGCAACGCCGCGUGAGUGAAGAAGGGUUUCGGGCUCGUAAAGACUCUGUUGUUGGUGAAGAAGGACAGGGGUAGGUAACUGACCUUUGUUUGACGGUAAUCAAUUAGAAAGUCACGGCUAACUACGUGCCAGCAGCCGCGGUAAAU
rnacentral:rRNA from 1 species